AAAAGCUUCUUCUCAGCAAAAGAACAUCAAUGAGGUGAACAGAGAAAUCUUGGGAGCAAAUUUUUGCCACGUACAUGUCAGAUAGAACACUAAUCUACAGGAUAUAAAAAGAACUCAAAAUACUUAACAUCAAAAAAACAAACAAACAACCCAAUCAAUAAAUGGGCUAAGGAGCACAGACACUUCUCAGAAGAAGAUACACAUUCAAUCAACAAAUAUAUCAAAAAAUGUUUCAACAUCUGUAGUAAUUAGAGAAAUGCAAAUCAAAACUGCUCUAAGAUUUUAUCUUAUGCCAGUCAGAAUGACAUUUAUCAAGAAUACAGACAAUAGUAAAUGUUGGCAAGGAUGUGUGUGUGUGGAGGCACACUUAUACAUUGCUCGCGGGACUGCAAAUUGGUGCAGCCAAUCUGGAAAGCUGUAUGGAGAUUACUUAGAAAACUUGGAAUGGAACCACCAUUUGACCCAGCUGUCCUACUCCUAGUUCUAUACCCAAAGGACUUAAAAUCAGCAUACUAUAGUAACACAGCCACAUCAAUGUUUAUAGCAACUCAAUUCACAAUAGCUAAACUGUGGAAGCAACCUUGAUGCCCAUCAAUAGAUGUGGUGUAUAUAUAUACAAUGGAAUAUUACUCAGCAUUAAAAGAGAAUAAAAUUAUGACAUUUGCAGGUAAAUGGGUAAAGUUGGAGAAUACCGUGCUAAAUAAAGUAAACCAAUCCUCAAAAGCCAAAGGCCAAGUGUUAUCUCUGGUAAGUGGAUGCUGAUCCAUAAUGGGGGAGCAUGGAAAAAAUGGAGGAACUUUGAUGGGGAAAAGGGAGGGGAGGAGUGGGGAAGGAGCUUGGGGGCAGGAAAGAUGAUGGAAUGAGAUGGACAUCAUUAAGUACAUGUGUGACUGCACAUGUGGUGUGAUGCUACAUUGUGUACAACAGAGAAAUUGUGCUGCAAUGGUGUAUAAUGAAUAAAAAUGCAUUCUGCUGUCAUGUAUACUUAGUUAA
rnacentral:lncRNA from 1 species